AAACUGCGAAUGGCUCAUUAAAUCAGUUAUUCGUUUAUUUGAUAAGUACCUACUACUUGGAUACCCGUGGUAAUUCUAGAGCUAAAUACAUGCGUAAAGUCCCGACUCCGGGAAGGGAUGUAUUUAUUAGAUAAAAAACCAAUGCCCUUCGGGGCUCUCUGGUGAAAUCAUGAUAACUCAACGAAUCGCAUAGCCAUGAGCUGGCGAUGGUUCAUUCAAAUUUCUGCCCUAUCAACUUUCGAUUGGUGAGUAGUGUUCACCAAAUGGUAUCGACGGGUAACGAAGAAUUAGGGUUCGAUCUCGGAGAGGACGCCUGAGAAACGGCGUGCACAUCCAAGGAAGGCAGCAGGCGCGCAAAUUACCCAAUCCCAAUUCGGGGAGGUAGUGACAAAAAAUACUGAUGCAGGGCUCUUUUGGGUCUUGCAAUUAGAAUGAGUACAAUUUAAAUCCCUUAACGAGGAACAAUUGGAGGGCAAGUCUGGUGCCAGCAGCCGCGGUAAUUCCAGCUCCAAUAGCGUAUAUUAAAGUUGUUGCAGUUAAAAAGCUCGUAGUUGAAACUUGGGUCUGGCUGUCCGGUCCGCCUCACCGCGUGUACUGGCUCGGCCGGACCUUUCCUUCUGGGGAAGCACAUGGUCUUUAUUGACUGUGUGGGGAACCAGGACUUUUACUUUGAAAAAAUUAGAGUGUUCAAAGCAGGCCUUUGCUCGAAUACAUUAGCAUGGAAUAAUGGAAUAGGACGGCUUUUCUAUUUUGUUGGUUUCUAGGAGAGCCGUAAUGAUUAAUAGGGACAGUCGGGGGCAUCAGUAUUCAAUUGUCAGAGGUGAAAUUCUUGGAUUUAUUGAAGACUAACUACUGCGAAAGCAUUUGCCAAGGAUGUUUUCAUUAAUCAGUGAACGAAAGUUAGGGGAUCGAAGACGAUCAGAUACCGUCGUAGUCUUAACCAUAAACUAUGCCGACUAGGGAUCGGUGGAUGUUACUUUUUGACUCCAUCGGCACCCUUACGAGAAAUCAAAGUUUGGUAGCU
rnacentral:rRNA from 1 species